rfam:Aedes albopictus isolate Foshan contig100367, whole genome shotgun sequence.
GUCUCCGUAGCUUGGAGGAAAGAAGCGCCCAUCUAGCGAAUUGGAAGUCGUGGGUUCAACUCCCACCGGAGCUC